UACGUAGGGUGCAAGCGUUGUCCGGAAUUAUUGGGCGUAAAGAGCUCGUGGGCGGCUUGUCACGUCUGCUGUGAAAACUCGGGGCUCAACCCCGAGCCUGCAGUGGAUACGGGGCUAGCUAGAGUGCGGUAGGGGAGACUGGAAUUCCUGGUGUAGCGGUGAAAUGCGCAGAUAUCAGGAGGAACACCGGUGGCGAAGGCGGGUCUCUGGGCAGUAACUGACGCUGAGGAGCGAAAGCGUGGGGAGCGAACAGG
rnacentral:rRNA from 1 species